ACCUGACGCAGCAACGCCGCGUGUGUGAUGAAGGUCUUCGGAUUGUAAAGCACUUUCGACCGGGACGAAAACCCUCUGGCCAACACCCAGGGGCUUGACGGUACCGGGAGAAGAAGCACCGGCUAACUCUGUGCCAGCAGCCGCGGUAAUACAGAGGGUGCAAGCGUUGUUCGGAAUUAUUGGGCGUAAAGCGCGUGUAGGCGGCUUUGCAAGUCGGGUGUGAAAGCCCUCAGCUCAACUGAGGAAGUGCGCCCGAAACUGCAGAGCUUGAGUGCCGGAGAGGGUGGCGGAAUUCCCCAAGUAGAGGUGAAAUUCGUAGAUAUGGGGAGGAACACCGGUGGCGAAGGCGGCCACCUGGACGGUAACUGACGCUGAGACGCGAAAGCGUGGGGAGCAAACAGGAUUAGAUACCCUGGUAGUCCACGCCGUAAACGAUGAGAACUAGGUGUCGUGGGUGUUGACCCCCGCGGUGCCGUAGCUAACGCGUUAAGUUCUCCGCCUGGGAAGUACGGUCGCAAGACUA
rnacentral:rRNA from 1 species